rnacentral:misc_RNA from 1 species
GAUGAAGAACGUAGCGAAAUGCGAUAAGUAGUGUGAAUUGCAGAAUUCAGUGAAUCAUCGAAUCUCUGAACGCACAUUGCGCCCCUCGGUAUUCCGUGGGGCAUGCCUGUUCGAGCGUCAUUUACCCCUCAAGCACUGCUUGGUGUUGGGCGUCUGUCCCGCUUCGCGCGCGGACUCGCCCCAAAGGUAUUGGUAGCGGUCGUGCCAGCUUCUCGCGCAGCACAUUGCGCUUCUCGAGGCGGUCGAUCGGCGUCCACGAAGCUCACCUCCACCGUUUGACCUCGGAUCAGGUAGGGAUACCCGCUGAACUUAAGCAUAUCAAUAAGCGGAGGA